AGAGAGCACAGUGGCUGCCACAAACCAGGGCAAACCCAUCACUGAACAAACUCCCAGCAUGACACCAACCACAAAGAGGUCCAGGUGGUAGCCACAGCCUUUCUGCAUAGACAGAACCAGUAGACUGUGAUCUGUUGGUCCAUGAAGAUGAGGAUAGUACAGAGCAGAGCAGGGAUAAAGGUGACGAUUGUGGUCCACCAGGGAUUUGGUCCCACAGGGUUAAUGAUCCAGCCCCGAUCAUCUCUGGUUGGCUAAGGCAGUGAAACAAAAAUUAAUGAUUGGAAGAAGGUAAUGACAAAAUGCAGACAUGAAGACAGUGGUGAAGAAGAGGACCACACACCAAAACAGGACGUCUGGAAUGUAUGGACCAUGAGGUCCACAGGCGGUGCCUUCAAACAUCCCAUGCAUGUUUUCGCAAUCCUACUGGCCCAAAAGUGAAACAGCUUCUCAAGGGCCUCAUAGAUGAAGAUGAUGCAGAUGAGCGCAGCAAACGCUUCCUCUGUGAAACGUGUGAUAUAACAGACGAGCGAGCUGGCAUCAGUGGCCACCAGGAGGAGACAGAAGAAAGAUGUCCACAGACCAAUGCAGGCCCUCAGAGAGAGACCUGGACAGUGAUUCUUACCACACGUCCCUCUGUAGCUUCACCUAGGAGUCCCCCAAAGGUGAUGACUGGUGACAUGCAUGCACAGUAAAGGAAGAGAAAAGAGGCCAGACACUGCAGACUGAUGGCAUCUGUGAAGUCAGAAAGCUUAACAGAAGAACCAACAAAUCGCCGGAACAGGAGAGUACCUGGUGGUGAUGGGAACCUCGGCAAGGCCAUUCAGCAGCACAGCAGGGGCCAGACGGACAAAUGCUACCACGGGGCGUUCUAGAAACUCCAGCUCUCCAACCAGCACGUUGGACGCCUCUGCACCAGGGGGGAUCUUCUUCAUGAAGUGAAGAUCGAUCUGUGAUUUCAUCCAGCUCAGUAAACAGAGCAUGGGGGAUGUGCUCCUCAUCGCCAUCCUCUGUCCCCAAGAGAAACUGCACUCUCUGAGCUGGUGUGUCUGCUGCAGGAAAUAGUUAAGCUGUGGAAUCCCUUUCCUUGGACCUUUUCCUAUGUCUGUGUCCAUGGUGUCGGUGGCGUCGGUGAGACCUCCUGCCUAGAGGCACAUGAACCCCAAUGUAAAGAGUGCGGUGACCUGGAAGCAACAAGGAGAAGAAGAAGGAGGCCGUGGAAUUGGUGUGAAUGACAGCAGGUUCAGAUGUGGGAACAUCACGGGAAGAAUGUAAAUAUGAGACACGAGACAAGCCACUGGCAUCACUGACCGUUAAGACCAGGCCUGAGCAAACCUGCAGCCUGCGGGCCAAAUAAACUGCAUUUACAAUUGAUGCCACUAGAUGACGAUAGAUGCACUUUGUCUUUGCUGGAGGGUGGACUAUGACUUAACUGCCAGGGUCCCCAGGUAAUGGACCUUUCCAGUUAUUCAGAAGGACGAUGUCAAGUCAAAAUCCAGAACUACUUGCUAAUAGCUCAAGCAUUGCCUUUUUGGAGGCCAAUUGACAGGACUGUUGCAUGCUGGAACAAUUGUAUGAGUUGACUCACCACAUCCUUGCUUUCUUGGGAACUUUGUUCCUGCAAAUAAAAAGCCAAGCAUUAACAUGGAUGCAGGUUGUUAUAAGAGUUUUCCUGUCAAACCUGUAGCAAAUCGUUUUGUACUCACAACCUCAAUCAGUACUGACUAAUAAUCAGUUCAUAAUUCACAGACAACAUUUCAGGAGUCAGGAGAAAUAUCUGUCACUGCUCCAUUGUGCAUGAUCAUGAAAAAUAGUUAUUAUUUUUGACAUGCUGACGGGCUGUGUGUCGACAUGUCUGGUUAAUAAAAAAAAGGAGCUGUAUAUCCUAUGUACUGAAGAGCAAUAAACAGUUAAGACAAAUAACUGUAUGUGGAUUUAUCCACAGCCAAUUCUUUGUCCAAUUGGACAUAUAUGUGACACGUAUGCUGUGACUUCACU